rnacentral:rRNA from 1 species
AGGGUUCGAUUCUGGCUCAGGAUGAACGCUGGCGGCGUGCUUAACACAUGCAAGUCGAACGGGAUCCCAGGAGCUUGCUCCUGGGUGAGAGUGGCGAACGGGUGAGUAAUGCGUGACCGACCUGCCCCAUACACCGGAAUAGCUCCUGGAAACGGGUGGUAAUGCCGGAUGCUCCAGUUGGAUGCAUGUCCUUCUGGGAAAGAUUCAUCGGUAUGGGAUGGGGUCGCGUCCUAUCAGCUUGAUGGCGGGGUAACGGCCCACCAUGGCUUCGACGGGUAGCCGGCCUGAGAGGGCGACCGGCCACAUUGGGACUGAGAUACGGCCCAGACUCCUACGGGAGGCAGCAGUGGGGAAUUUUGCGCAAUGGGGGAAACCCUGACGCAGCAACGCCGCGUGCGGGACGAAGGCCUUCGGGUUGUAAACCGCUUUCAGCAGGGAAUAUAGUGAAGGUACCUGCAGAAGAAGCUCCGGCUAACUACGUGCCAGCAGCCGCGGUAAUACGUAGGGAGCGAGCGUUAUCCGGAUUCAUUGGGCGUAAAGCGCGCGUAGGCGGCCCGUCAAGCGGGGUUUCAAAUCCAGGGGCUCAACCUCUGGCCGGACCCCGAACUGGCGGGCUCGAGUGCGGUAGAGGAAGGUGGAAUUCCCAGUGUAGCGGUGAAAUGCGCAGAUAUUGGGAAGAACACCGAUGGCGAAGGCAGCCUUCUGGGCCGCCACUGACGCUGAGGCGCGAAAGCUAGGGGAGCGAACAGGAUUAGAUACCCUGGUAGUCCUAGCCGUAAACGAUGGGCACUAGGUGUGGGGGAGCAUCUCCUCCGUGCCGCAGCCAACGCAUUAAGUGCCCCGCCUGGGGAGUACGGCCGCAAGGCUAAAACUCAAAGGAAUUGACGGGGGCCC